UCCACACUUGUAGUCGCUUGAGGUUGGAGUCAAAACCAGGUCCCUGGUUCUGUGAGGUAGCAGUGCUAACCACUGAGCCACCGUGCUGCCCUUCUACCAUCCUCCGAAAGAUGAAACAGCUAAAUAAAGUUGUUCACUUCACUUCCGCCCUCUAAGAUGAAGGUGGACUAGAACAUCUCAGCUGGGCCCAACAUUGCGGUUUCUCAGCCCGGCGUGGCCUCAGCUUGGAUUUCCAUCCCCGAGAUGAUUCCAGGGCAGUCUCCCAGCCUUGGGAACCUCGAGGUGAAGACUGCCGCAGUCUGGAGUCGAGGCCCAGCAUGGACUGGAGACUGGGUGUGGGCGUGGACUGGAUUGGAAGGACUGCUAUUCUGAACUUGUUAUUCCGUUACUUUUCUCAUUUUUUCCUAUUAUCUGUAAUGCUUGACUUUUUAUUUCUUUAUUUUUCUAUUUUAUUACAUAAGAAUUUGUACUUAAAAAUCUGUACCUAGGUAUCUUUUUACCUAAGGUGGUGCCGUUAGUGGCGAUUUGUGAACUUUUCACUGCACUUAUGCGACAAUAAAGCUAAUUCUAAUUCUAAUUCUAA